GAUGAACGCUGGCGGCGUGCCUAACACAUGCAAGUCGAGCGAAGCGCCUUACUUGAUUUCUUCGGGAUGAAAGUAUUGUGACUGAGCGGCGGACGGGUGAGUAACGCGUGGAUAACCUGCCUCAUACAGGGGGAUAACAGUUGGAAACGACUGCUAAUACCGCAUAAUGUUUCCGGUCCGCAUGGACUGGAAACCAAAGCUUUAUGUGCUGAAAGAUGGCCUCGCGUCUGAUUAGAUAGUUGGUGGGGUAACGGCCUACCAAGUCAACGAUCAGUAGCCGGUCUGAGAGGAUGAACGGCCACAUUGGGACUGAGACACGGCCCAG
rnacentral:rRNA from 1 species